UCAUAUGACACAGAGACUUCCAAUGAAGAGAAAGAGAUGGUUUGGCACCCCAGCGUGAUAGCAACCAUUUUCACCUUGUGGCUAAAGGAAGGGGAUUCUAAAAGGUGUAGGCAAACCUGCACUUGGUCCACUGGCCAUCUUUUCUACUUUGUGUUGUUUCCUGAAGAAGUGAUUGCAAGCAUCAAUCUCAAGGAGGAUAUACCCAAGCUUUGAGGAAGACCUGGGUUCAAUUCUCACCAGUGGUACUUACAGACUAUAGGAGCCUGGAUGAGGAAGGCCUAGAGAAGAAACAUGAACUGCCAGAGGUCAAACAUUUAGUAAUUAGCAGGUCCAGGAUUUGAAUCCAGUUUCUCUUUGGCUCCAUUUGGACACCCAUCACUUGAUAUGGUGGGGAAACAAAGGAAUUGAAGCUAGGAGAGAUUACAUGACUUACCUAGGACUCCUUCAGCCUGAAUCUGUCUGCUCCUUGGUCUUCAUUUGUUUACAACCUGUAGACUGCUGUUAUCUCUUCAUCACCUGACUUG